GAUGAACGCUGGCGGCGUGCUUAACACAUGCAAGUCGAACGAAGAUGCCGGAGUGCUUGCACUUUGGCAGACUGAGUGGCGGACGGGUGAGUAACGCGUGGGUAACCUGCCUUAUACAGGGGGAUAACAGUUGGAAACGACUGCUAAUACCGCAUAAGCGCACGGUAUCGCAUGAUACAGUGUGAAAAACUCCGGUGGUAUAAGAUGGACCCGCGUCUGAUUAGCUUGUUGGUGAGGUAACGGCCCACCAAGGCGACGAUCAGUAGCCGGCCUGAGAGGGUGAACGGCCACAUUGGGACUGAGACACGGCCCAAAACUCCUACGGGAGCAGCAGUGGGGAAUAUUGCACAAUGGCGAAAGCCUGAUGCAGCGACGCCGCGUGAGCGAAGAAGUAUUUCGGUAUGUAAAGCUCUAUCAGCAGGGAAGAUAAUGACGGUACCUGACUAAGAAGCACCGGCUAAAUACGUGCCAGCAACCGACGG
rnacentral:rRNA from 1 species